AGGGAAUAGAUACCCGGGUAGUCCUAGCCGUAAACGGUGAUCACUAGGUGUUGGGAGCAUCGACCCUUCCAGUGCCGCAGCUAAACGCAUUAAGUGAUCCGCCUGGGGUAGUACGGCCGCAAGGUUGAAACCUCAAAGGAAUUGACGGGGGUCCCGCACAAGCGGUGGAGCAUGUGGUUCAAUUCGACGCAACGCGAAGAACCUUACCCGAGACUUGACAUGUACUGGACUGGUGUGGAAACCACAUCUUCCCGUUCGGGGUCCAGUGCACAGGUGCUGCAUGGCUGUCGUCAGCUCGUGUCGUGAGAUGUUAGGGUUAACGUCCCGCAACGAGCGCAACCCGUUGUCCUUAGUUGCUAACGAGUCAAGUCGAGCACUCUAA
rnacentral:rRNA from 1 species